GGGGUAUGCCGCACGAGCGCACCCCUGUGCUCAGUUGCCAGCGCGUCAUGGCGGGGACUCUAGGGAGACUGCCGGUGCCAAACCGGAGGAAGGUGGGGACGACGUCAAGUCAUCAUGGUCCUUACGUCUAGGGCUACACACGUGCUACAAUGGCGGGGACAGAGGGCUGCGAGCCGGCAACGGCAAGCCAAUCCCGUAAACCCCGCCUCAGUUCGGAUCGUCGUCUGCAACCCGACGGCAUGAAGCUGGAAUCGCUAGUAAUCGUGGAUCAGCUACGCCACGGUGAAUACGUUCCCGGGCCUUGUACACACCGCCCGUCACGCCAUGGAAGCUGUGAGCGCCCGAAGUCCGUGUCGGAACCUGUGCAAACUGGGCCAAGCGGCCGAAGGCGAGCGCAGUGACUGAGGCGAAGUCGUAACAAGGUAGACCGUAGUGGGGAACNUGCGGNCUGGAUUCACNCUCCANUUAAACGGGANUCGCCGAAGUUAACGNUCCUCCUCCCGGGUAGAAGGGGGAAAAUAGCCAUUCCUCCGUUUAAGCUUCGNCNUNUCCGCCCUUUCGGAAACACCAGUUUCCUGGGUCCCCAUGUCCCACGUCNUCCGAAUUUGGUUCCAGAAACCGCCAGNUUCCNUCGUGUCGGGAAAGAAAAGUUGAAAGGGGGUUCCUGCUUGUCCUAGCUUUUGGGACCGAAAGCUGGGUAACAAGGCCCGUUCGGCGUUAGGGAAAAUU
rnacentral:rRNA from 1 species